rnacentral:lncRNA from 1 species
AAAGAAUUCCCAAUAUAACACAGCAAUCAGAAUAAAAAUUAAAAAAAAAAGUAGCAAGAAGCCAGAAUGCUAGCUAGCACUGUUUUUACCCAUCAGUGACAGGUAAGUUUCAGACCCCAGGGAACCAUUAUGAAGGGCUGAAAGCCCCAAAUAGAAAGAAAAAGGAAAACAGAGAUUGAUGCCUAUCAGGUUCCCACCAGGUGACCAGUUGUUAAAUGGACAUGAUGUGUAGUAUGUACAUCUGCUUCCCAGAGAAGCAAAAGUUAGUGAGCAAGGAGAACUACACACAUAUAAUCUAAACUGUGCCCAGGCUGCCCUGCACAUGCCAAAAAUGUCCAAAUCAGAUGUAAAUGUUUCAACAGGUUGUCUGGCGUGGAAAGUACCAAGCAGGCUUCUACAUGGUGAAGAUUGGGAAUCUCCAGCAAAGCCCCUACAAGCUGCAACGUCUUUGCAUUUUGAGCCAAAGAAGAACAUGAUACAAAAUGAAGAGGAGAAAAAAACACAGCUUGUUUACCUUAGCAUGUCAGUGUUAUCAGGAGUCUGGACUGCAGUUUAACAGUACUGUUGGAAUGCUGGGAUCAG